ensembl:lncRNA
AGGAGCACAACUAUCUUGCAAAGAAAUGCAGCCGCAAAAAAAAAAAAAAAUUUGGAUCUCAAUUUCACACUAGCUGUUCAAAACUUACGUCACACAAUACCCCCACUGUUUCUCUCCACUAGCAGGCACCCUACAUGUCAAAUACAUAACGGCCUAAAUCAAACUUUAGAUUAAGGAAAAGAAAUUGAAGACAAAGGAUGUCUGACCAUUUGAUUUAUUGAAUCAUUUGAGAGAACAAGGACAAAACAAAUGAGCAGGAGUCACUUUACAGUCGCCCCAUACACAGCCUAUAUUAACAUUAGGAGGCAAUCUUUUUCAAAGCCACAUGGAAGACAUAACCCACCUAAUUCUACUGUCCUCGGUCCUCAAUUUCGUGGGAAAGAUUUCCUAUCAGAUUCUGAAAAAUCCACAAAUUUAAGUGCGAAUGGGUCUUUUUCAUAAUGCAUAUAACUGGGUGGUUUAUAGUAUUGGGGUGGCUCUUUGGGAGGCUGGUUGGCAGAAGGUUUGCAUUCAGCUGCUGCAGUUGUAGUACAGGGUUGAGGAGUGGUGGUUAUAGGUGGUGCGGUAGGGGUUUUCUGAGGUUGCACUGGGUAUUGUGGAUAAAAUUGCUGCAAAUAAUCUGGGAAAUUUGGGUAAUGGCUAUGCUGAGGGAAUAGACUUCCAGGGUACACUGGGGGUUGCGGUUUCUGGUUUAUUGCUGGCGAAUCUGGUGGGAGAGGAGUGGGGAUGGCUGGAGCUGGUUUCACAGUAGUAUUUGGUUUGCCAUGAUAGUCACUGUAGUAAUAUGGCCACAUAUGGGGUUGCCUUGGAAACUGAGGUUUCUGGGUUGGCACUUGGCCAUCUGAUGGAGAUUGCCCUGCUGGCUUAGCUGUGGGAUAUGGCCACAUCAUAUGGGGGUACUUCGGAAACUGAGGUUUCUGGAUUGGCACUUGGCCAUCUGAUGGAGAUUGCCCUGCUGGCUUAGCUGUGGGAUAUGGCCACAUCAUAGGGGGGUGCUUCGGAAAUUGAGGUUUCUGGGUUGGCACUUGGCCAUCUGAUGGAGAUAGCCCUGCUGGCUUAGCUGUGGGAUAUGGCCACAUCAUAUGGGGGUACUUAGGAAACUGAGGUUUCUGGAUUGGCACUUGGGCAUCUGAUGGAGAUUGACCUGCUGGCUUAGCUGUGGGAUAACCCUUGCCAGGAUAACGGGAGUAGGGAUAUGGCCACAUCAUAUGGGGGUACUUCGGAAACUGAGGUUUCUGGGUUGGCACUUGGCCAUCUGAUGGAGAUUGCCCUGCUGGCUUAGCUGUGGGAUAUGGCCACAUCAUCUGGGGGUACUUCGGAAACUGAGGUUUCUGGGUUGGCACUUGGACAUCUGAUGGAGAUUGCCCUGCUGGCUUAGCUGUGGGAUAUGGCCACAUCGGGGGUUUGGAAAUUGAGGCUUCUGGGUUGGCACUUGGCCAUCUGCUGGAGAUUGCCCUGCUGGCUUAUCUGUGGGAUAACCCUUGCCAGGAUAAUGGGAAUAUGGAUAUGGCCACAUCAUCUGGGGGUGCUUUGGAAACUGAGGUUUCUGGGUUGGCACUUGGCCAUCUGCUGGAGAUUGCCCUGCUGGCUUAGCUGUGGGAUAACCCUUGCCAGGAUAAUGGGAGUAGGGAUAUGGCCACAUCAUAGGGGGGUGCUUUGGAAACUGAGGUUUCUGGGUUGGCACUUGGGCAUCUGAUGGAGAUUGCCCUGCUGGCUCAGCUGUGGGAUAACCCUUGCCAGAAUAUUGGUAACGAGGGUAGUUGUAAGGCCAAAACCCUUGCUGAAACUCUUCAGGGUAGCCGUAAAAUGGCGGUUUGAGAGCUGCAGAUAGUUCUGGCAUUGUACUUAUUUGUAGAUUAAAUUCAUCAGGAUAAAGGGGAGGCAGCAGAAUCUGCUGAUAUGAAGGAUCAUGAGGUCCUAGAAAAGUGUCGUUUGCAGUUGUAGAGGUCAUAGGACAAGAAAUGACUGCACGGUUUCCCUGCCAUUGCAUCUGCAUCACAUAACUCCCUCCCUGAAAGACAUGAACAUUCAGGUUGGUCUUCCUAACUCUGUGUACAUACUAAAUGGAACAGAGAAAGUAAUACCUGUUGUGCAACGCCACAUCCAUCAUAGGGGGUAGCAUAGAUAAGACCACCAUAAGUGGGUAUGGUAGAUCCACAGUUAGGCGGCAACUCACUGAGGGGAACAGCUGCCCCAUUACCUGUGACAAAAAACAUCCCACAUUGCAUUGAUGC